rnacentral:rRNA from 1 species
UGAGGAAUAUUGGUCAAUGGGCGCGAGCCUGAACCAGCCAAGUCGCGUGAAGGAAGAAGGCUCUAUGGGUCGUAAACUUCUUUUAACCGGGAAUAAAAGAGAUGACGAGUCAUCUAUUGCAUGUACCGGUAGAAUAAGCAUCGGCUAACUCCGUGCCAGCAGCCGCGGUAAUACGGAGGAUGCGAGCGUUAUCCGGAUUUACUGGGUGUAAAGGGCGUGUAGGCGGGACUGUAAGUCAGAUGUGAAACCCAUGGGCUCAACCCAUGGCCUGCAUUUGAAACUACGGUUCUUGAGUGAUGGAGAGGCAGGCGGAAUUCCCUGUGUAGCGGUGAAAUGCGUAGAUAUCGAGAGGAACACUCGUGGCGAAGGCGGGUUCCUGGACAUUAACUGACGCUGAGGUACGAAGGCUAGGGUAGCGAAAG